CAGCAGCCGCGGUAAUACGUAUGUCACGAGCGUUAUCCGGAUUUAUUGGGCGUAAAGCGCGUCUAGGUGGUUAUGUAAGUCUGAUGUGAAAAUGCAGGGCUCAACUCUGUAUUGCGUUGGAUACUGUAUAACUAGAGUACUGGAGAGGUAAGCGGAACUACAAGUGUAGAGGUGAAAUUCGUAGAUAUUUGUAGGAAUGCCGACGGGGAAGCCAGCUUACUGGACAGAUACUGACGCUAAAGCGCGAAAGCGUGGGUAGCAAACAGGACUAGAUACCCUGGUAGUCCACGCUGUAAACGAUGAUUACUAGGUGUUGGGGGUCGAACCUCAGCGCCCAAGCAAACGCGAUAAGUAAUCCGCCUGGGGAGU
rnacentral:rRNA from 1 species